UCUUUCCAAUUUGACUCCGAAUUUCCCGAAAUUCAACUCUGACCAUACGUACAAGUCAAUACACCUGAAAUGAAGCUGUUCAUGACUUCCAACUGCUGACGAUGCGCUAGAGAUCAAAAUGACCGGUCGGGUCGUUACAAAGGUGUAUGAAAAAAUUCUUCAAUAAAUUGGACUGUGUCUUUGGUUUCUUAUGCAUCUUCUGGAGGUAACAGAGAAAAUAGAAAAUUACGAAUGCAUGUACUAUCAUAUUCUCAACAGUGGAGAGCCGAAUGUUUGACACGGUUAGCAUCUGUAAUUCUUUACAUCUUUUUCACCACACAGCAUGAGAGAUUAAAAUUAUAGAGAAAAAGUUUGACAAGUUGUUGUUGUGACUAUGUGGAUUUUCUGUUUUUCAUUUUUUUUUAUGAAUGAAAUAAACUGAUAUUACCCAAAUCUAUUUUGGGACUUGAAAAUUUAAAUGUGGUAUAGAGAAUUUCAGAUACUUGAAGUAUAUUCUUGGUUCUCUUUGUUCUCAUAGAAUCUCCUUAUCGCUAGCUAUAUAUAAUUGUGUCUCAUUUGCUAAAUUUUCAUGAAUUUCCAACACAAUCACCCGAGAAAAUAAUAGUCUCAAAUUUGCUUAUAGAUAUUUGUAUUUGUAUGAUACCUUUGGAUGGAACAUUACCAAAAAAUUACGAGUUAGUUGACUGAUGUAUGGAGCUUCUGUAAGGUGAUUGCUUUGAAAACAUUCAAAAUAUGGAUUUCUUUAUUUAGAUGAAAUUUGUAUGAAUAUUUCAUACAUGGGACAGUAACAUUUAAACCUUAAGAAUUUUGCUCCAACUUAUGCAAUUUGUGAUUGUAACUACUUGGACUUGUCUCAUUUUUGUUCAAAAUAUUGGACAUAACUGCAUUCAAGUUAUUACUGCUUCUUGUAUACAGGAAGUGACUAAUUUGUGUUAUUUUCUACUUUGAUUAAUAAAUUUGGUACAUUUGUGUGAUCUUUUCAUUUAAAGUUCAGUCCCUUUUGAAGAAGAGAUACAUGAUAGAGACCUAAGACUCUAAUGAAGACUUCAACAUCUUUCAGGAUGAAAACAUUCUUCUAUAUGAAGACUUCAACAUCUUUCAGGAUGAAAACAUUCUUCUAUAGUCGUUAGCUUAUAGGAAAACCUUGCCUUCUUCUUUAGGAAAUAUUGCUAACAGGUUAUGGUGGUUAGGGAUAUUUUGGUAGCAUUUUCAGCAUCAACGACCUCUUUGAACAUUUGCAGCGAGGUAAUAUUUGGACUUUUCAGUUCAAGAAUUGAAUGUCUUUGUUGAAUUUCGAAUCUUUUACUUUUCAAGAAAACAUGUUUAUGUUUUAAGAUGAUAGUUUGAUUGAAGGAUUCUAUUGCAUAUAGUAUAAUUCUUUCAUAACUUUUGUUCUGUUUAUGGAUUAUAAAUCUUGUUAAUGAAAAUUUGCUCACUCAAGAUGGAGAUUGUUUGGAUUGGGUAAUUCCUCUACAUUGCAGAGAUGAUCUUCUUAUCUUUGGAAACACUAAAUUCUGAUAGAAUUUCCUCUUGCUCUUCAGACGAAAUCUUUUCUGCCAAAGUUGACCCCAAAAACUUGAGAUUGAGGGGAAGUCUCUACGAAGUGGAAUGUAAUGACAAUGAAACUUUUCAGAGUAACAAUGGAGAUAGUUUGGGCAGGGGUAGUUCUUUAACAUAUAAAGACUAUCGGCAUGGCAGUUCAUUUACAUGUAAAACUAUAUAGAUACUAUCAUCUUUACACUUAAGCAUCUAAUAUCAUAAUGCGCAAUGGAUGUAAAGAAUGUAUUAUUCGUCAUAAUGCAACAUCAUGAUGAAUAUUUUGCUCUAAAAUGUAUGUAAUAAUCGAGCAAUUAGUAUAUGAUA